rnacentral:rRNA from 1 species
UCAAGCGAACAAGGGCGCAGGGCGAAUGCCUUGGCACUGGGAGCCGAUGAAAGACGUGAUAAGCUGCGAUAAGCUUCGGGGAGCUGCAAAUAAGCAUUGAUCCGGAGAUUUCUGAAUGAGGAAACUCACCUGGGUUCAUACUCAGGUACGUUAUACUGAACUUAAAAAUAGGUAUAUCGAGGGAACCGCCUGAACUGAAACAUCUAAGUAGGGCGAGGAAGAGACAUCAAACGAGAUUCCGUAAGUAGUGGCGAGCGAACGCGGAAGAGGGCAAACCGGGAGUAGAAAUACUUCCGGGGUACGGACUGCUUUUAGGACUCGAUCUGUUAACCGAACGGCAUGGGAAGGCCGGUCAGAGAGUGUGAGAACCACGUAGGUGAAAACGGAGAGAGCUGCGCAGGAUCCAGAGUACGGCCAGACACGUGAAACCUGGUCGGAAUACGGGGGGACCACCCUCCAACCCUAAAUACUACCCAGUGACCGAUAGCGUAUAGUACUGUGAAGGAAAGGUGAAAAGCACCCCGGGAGGGGAGUGAAAAAGAACCUGAAACCCUGUGCCUACAAGCACCUAGAGCGCGUCAAUGCGUGAUAGGGUACUUUUUGUAGAACGGUCCGGCGAGCGAUUGUAUGCAGCAAGGUUAAGGACUUAAGGUCUGGAGCCGAAGCGAAAGCGAGUUUGAAAAGGGCGUUAAGUUGCAUAUAAUGGGCCCGAAACCGGGUGACCUACCCAUGGUCAGGUUGAAGUGGAAGUAAAAUUCCAUGGAGGACCGAACCGACCUCCGUUGAAAAGGCGGCGGAUGAACUGUGGGUAGCGGAGAAAUUCCAAUCGAACCCGGAGAUAGCUGGUUCUCCCCGAAAUAGUUUUAGGACUAGCCUCAAGUUAGAUACCUGGAGGUAAAGCACUGAAUAGCCUAGCGGCCGAGAGGUUAGCGAAGCUUAUCAAACUCAGAAUGCCAGAGUAUUGAUGCUUGGGAGUCAGACAGUGUCAGAUAAAUGUCAUUGUCAAAAGGGAAACAGCCCAGAUCUACAGCUAAGGUCCCAAAGUCAGGUUAAGUGGAAAACGAUGUGAAGAUACGCAGACAACCAGGAUGUUGGCUCAGAAGCAGCCACUCAUUCAAAGAGUGCGUAAUAGCUCACUGGUCGAGCGUCUUUGCGCGGAGAAUUUAACGGGGCUAAACCUGACACCGAAGCUUAGGCAAUACAGCAAUGUAUUGGGUAGGGGAGCGUUGUAUACGCGGAGAAACAGUAGCGUAAGCGGCUGUGGAGUGUAUAGAAGUGAGAAUGCCGGAAUGAGUAGCGCGAAUGCAGUGAGAAUCUGCAUGGCCGAAAGCCUCAGGUUUUUGGAGGAAGGUUCGUCCGCUCCAAGUUAGUCGGGAGCUAAGGUGAGGCCGGAAGGCGUAGCCGAUGCACAGACGGUAGAGAUUCCGUCACCACCAAAAGAGUUAAGCACAGGGACACAUUUGAAGUCUCAGAGCCGGGUGUUGGUUCCGGUAGAGAUCGAGGGAAAUUAGUACCGAAGUCUGGGAUGGAAGAUGGCGAGAAAAGCUGUGUGUAUUUCUGAGGUGCCCGUACCGCAAACCGACACAGGUAGGUAGGAAGAAGAUUCUAAGGCCAACGGGAGAAGGGUUGUUAAGGAACUCGGCAAAUUGACCCCGUAACUUCGGGAGAAGGGGUGCUCCAGAGAUGGAGCCGCAGAGAAUCGGCCCAAGCAACUGUUUACCAAAAACACAGGUUUGUGCUAAAUCGAAAGAUGACGUAUACGAGCUGACGCCUGCCCGGUGCUGGAAGGUUAAGAGGAGAUGUGCAAGCAUUGAAUCGAAGCCCCAGUGAACGGCGGCCGUAACUAUAACGGUCCUAAGGUAGCGAAAUUCCUUGUCAGGUAAG